UUUACUUUCUUAUUAAAAUUUGGAUUAUGAUGUUAAGAAGGAGUAUUCAAGGAGAAGGGUAAGGAAUCAGAAGUUUUUAAAAGGGGGUGAAGGAUUGUUUCCACCCAGCUCACGUUCAGUAUGAGGAACCUUCAUUUGUUUCCUCUGACUGUGCCAGUAUGAAGAAGAGCUUGGAACUACCAGCACAGGAGGAAGUCAUCUGCUGAAAGAGUACAGGACAUCAGGGAAAGCUAGAGAGGGCUCACUCUGCCAAACAGGGCUCUUUUAAGAAAAAACCCAGACAGGAUAAACCAUCAACAUUUCCUUGUUAUCUAGAGUGGCAAUCACUGGGAAACCCAUGAGACCAAGCUGAACAGGGAUUGCCUGUCAGCCCAUGUAUUUCAAAUGGAUUCUUAAGAGGGAUCUGAACACUGUCUGUUACUCUGAAGUAAGAGAUGAA
ensembl:lncRNA